AGUGCGCGACGGCGGCGGCGGCGCGGGAGGUUCAGAGCGGGAGCCCGGGCUCGCGGACGGCAUGGAGGACUACGAGCAGGAGCUGUGCGGCGUCGAGGACGAUUUCCACAACCAGUUCGCGGCCGAGCUGGAGGUGCUGGCCGAGCUGGAAGGGGCGUCGACUCCGUCGCCCUCCGGGGUCCCUGUGUCCACCGCGGGCCGACCCCCGCGGACGUUCGAGGAGGCCCUCACCAGAGGGGACGCGGCCUCCAGUCCCGCCCCAGCCGCAUCUGUGGGCAGCAGCCAGGGCGGCGCCAGGAAGAGGCAGGUGGACGCCGACCUGCAGCCGGCCGGGUCUCUGCCCCACGGAUCAAACGGCCUAGGCUGCAGGUGGCCAAGAGGCUGAACUUUAGGUCGGAGGAGAUGGAGGAGCCGCCCCCUCCCGACUCCCCGCCGACGGACAUCACCCCGCCGCCGAGUCCUGAGGACCUC
rnacentral:sRNA from 1 species